GACGAACGCUGGCGGCGUGCCUAAUACAUGCAAGUUGAGCGAUGAAGAUUGGUGCUUGCACCAAUUUGAAGAGCAGCGAACGGGUGAGUAACGCGUGGGGAAUCUGCCUUUGAGCGGGGGACAACAUUUGGAAACGAAUGCUAAUACCGCAUAACAACUUUAAACAUAAGUUUUAAGUUUGAAAGAUGCAAUUGCAUCACUCAAAGAUGAUCCCGCGUUGUAUUAGCUAGUUGGUGAGGUAAAGGCUCACCAAGGCGAUGAUACAUAGCCGACCUGAGAGGGGGAUCGGCCACAUUGGGACUGAGACACGGCCCAAACUCCUACGGGAGGCAGCAGUAGGGAAUCUUCGGCAAUGGACGAAAGUCUGACCGAGCAACGCCGCGUGAGUGAAGAAGGUUUUCGGAUCGUAAAACUCUGUUGGUAGAGAAGAACGUUGGUGAGAGUGGAAAGCUCAUCAAGUGACGGUAACUACCCAGAAAGGGACGGCUAACUACGUG
rnacentral:rRNA from 1 species